UAAAUAGAAAGGAGCAAAACUCCCACCUCAGAUUUGUUUUCUAUCUUUCUUUCCCAUUUCUUCUUUCCCAUACCAACACAGCCAAGAACUAUGCCAAUUAGGAUUGGGAGGUAAAGACUGGAAGAAAAAGAUAAAGGAGACUGACUGGCUGGCACUCAUUCUUGGCUUCUGAGAUGGAGAAACACCUCCACUGCCCAGGCCUCCCUCUUCUCCCUGAUUACCCCAGGCAGAAGCUGUUCCUCGCUGGCUGUUGUGAACCAUCCCUGGAAGUCAGUGGUUGUUUCCUUCUUUUUUU
rnacentral:lncRNA from 1 species